CACGCGGUGGCGUGGGCCUGGACCCGGGCGGCCUCGGCGGCGGCCAGGUCCCCGGCGCUCAACCGGCGCAGGUUCCAUUCCGAUUCGUGCGC
rnacentral:tRNA from 1 species